rnacentral:rRNA from 1 species
GACGAACGCUGGCGGCGUGCCUAAUACAUGCAAGUCGAACGCAGUGGGGACGGGUGAGUAACACGUGGGUAACCUCCCAUCAGAGGGGAUAACACUUGGAAACAGGUGCUAAACCGAUACUGAUGGAUGAACCCGCGGUGCAUGAGCUAGUUGGUGAGGUAACGGCUAACCAAGGCCACGAUGCAUAGCCAAACUUGGAGGGGGAUCGGCGGCACUGGGACUGAAACACGGACCAGAGUACUAAGGGAGGCAGCAGUAGGGAAUCUUCGGCAAGGGACGAAAGUAUGACCGAGCAACGCAGCGUGAGUGAAGAAGGUUUUCGGAUCGUAAAACUCUGUUGUUAGAGAAGCGGUAUCUAACCAGAAAGCAACGGCUAACUACGUGCCAGCAGCCGCGGUAAUAC